GCCGCCCUGGCGCAGGUGCUGGCGCUGGCAUCCCUGGAGCGGGCGCAGCGGCUGAGCCUCGUCUGCUGAUCCGCACGGCAGGGCCGUU
rnacentral:tRNA from 2 species